GUGAUCCUACUACCAAAGAAGCCUUCACCACAUAAUACAUUGUGCAUUUAGAAGUUCAUACAUUGGAUGUUCCCUGUCACAUACCUUCAGUAUUAAUAGUUACCACAAGCGGCGCAGUUACCACACAAUCUGAAGACGUGUACAAGGGGAGAGUGCAAAUUCAAAUUUUACAGUCGAGUAUCCCGCAUUUGGGGACAUUGCGGGCUUCAGCACACCCAAAGUGCAAUGGGCUUGUCUCUUCCUGGGAGCACCACCUUCAUGAUCAUGGUCUCUCCCCUGCCAGCACAGGAUUCUGACCUGAUCUGUUGCUGCUGAGCCACAGAAUUUCUCGUAGUCGAUCAGAUCUUUCACUGUUGGAUUCUCACCACAAACUGCACAUGUUGGCUGCUUGGGUCGAAGCUU